UUAAAAAGAGCGGGUGCUAAUAUAUUUUGAGUUAUGAGACUAUACGGGCUUCAAAAAGGUCAAUGUAGUGUUUUUUCUUUAAAAAUAUAACCAUAGUCGUGUAUCAAUCAUUUGAUUAGUUAAAAAUUAAAUGAGUUUUAAUUUUAAAACGAUUAUGAUGAACAUUUAAUCUGCAUUAAAGAAUCCCCAAAAAGUAUAACAGUUAAGUGAUAGUUUUGAAGUAACUUCCAUUCAUUAUGAAGUUGAGUGUAAAUUUAUAAAAUUAAAGAUAUUUAUGUCAAUGAAGAUAAAAAAACGAAAGAAAAAAAAACUAAAAAACGUUUUGGUUUAUCCAAAAUAAGUUCUCAUAUGAUUAUAACGAAUUUUUGAUAAGCUUCCUGGUAGCAAGAUAUUCGAAGGUCAUAUAAAAAAACCGGUUGAUUCAAGGCAGACUAUAAAACAAGCAGGAAAGGUGAUGCCUACUUACCUAUUCAGCGAGUCCUCAAUCUAUUAUGAUAUAUUCUAAUGGGUAUGACAAAAAAUUAUAUGAAUAGUUCAUUGUUUAACUUAAAAAAAUUUUUAAAUAAUAUUUUAUGUCGCGAUUUAUACAAUUUCUAUCAAUUAUAAAUAAAUUGUUAUA